rnacentral:lncRNA from 1 species
GGAAUUUUUCGCAACGGACGCGUGCAAUCUUUCUAAUUAGACCCUAGAACAUGUUUGGGAGUGUUUCUGAGCAUUCGGUUACAGCACGAAAAACGAUGCAAAACGGGUGCAUUUCGGCAGCCGAAUGCACUAUUUCCGGGUAGCGAAACUCGGGUUGAUUUUUUCGCAACGAACGCAUGCAAUCUUCAUAAUUAUACCCUAGAACAUGUUUGGGAGUGUUUUUGAGCAUUCGGUUCAGGAACGAAAAAUGAUGCAAAACGGGUGCAUUUCAGCACCCGAAUGCAUAUUGCCGGGUAGCGAAACUCGGGUGGAUUUUUUCGCAACGAACGCAUGCAAUCUUCCUAAUUAUACCCUAAAACAUGUUUGGGAGUGUUUUUGAGCAUUCGGUUCCGGAACGAAAAAUGAUGCAAAACGGGUGCAUUUCGGCACCCGAAUGCACUAUUGCCGGGUAGCGAAACUCGGGUGGAUUUUUUCACAACGAACGCAUG